rnacentral:rRNA from 1 species
AGCAUAAUCGCCUGCCCUUUAAUUGGGGGCCUGUAUGAAUGGACCACGGCUGGAGUUAUCAUCUGUCUCUUUAAGAACACUAAAAAUUAUCUUUCAGGUGAAAAGACCUUAAUUUAAAUAGUUAGACAAAAAGACCCUACAGAGCUUUAUCCCCCCGCCUUAAAAGUAAAUUACACGAAAAUAAAUUUCUUAUAUAAUGCCCACGAUUUAGUUGGGGCGACAAAGGACCAACAAAAACGUCCUUCUAUAAUUAGACUCCACGUCUUCUAACGACUCAUUAGACUACUUGUUUAAUAGACUUAAGCUACCUUAGGGAUAACAGACUAAUAUCCCCUUAAGAGCCCAAAUCGACAGGGGAGUUUGGCACCUCGAUGUUGGCUUAGGGAACCCGAUUUAGCGCAGAAGCUAUAUUGGGUGGUUUGUUCAACCAAUAA